rfam:Rachicladosporium sp. CCFEE 5018 unplaced genomic scaffold Supercontig_7, whole genome shotgun sequence.
GCUUUAAUGGUCUAGUGGUAUGACGUGUCCUUCACACGGACAAGGUCCGGGGUUCGAUCCCCCGUUAAAGUA